rnacentral:lncRNA from 1 species
ACUUCGACAAACAAGUUUUUUAACAAUUUUUCUGCUUUUUUUUAGACAAUUAAGACUGCUUACAAAAAUAGUUAGGUAUAUUUUUUUCAUUGAAAUGAGGUAGGCCAGAAGUUUCUUUAUAAUAUAUAACAAACUAAAAUAUUAAAAAGAUUUCAUUGUAUCACUGCAUGAUUUUUCAAUGAUGGUAGUUUGGUCAAAAGAACAACGCGGAUUGGUCAAAGGUACAAAUACGUGUUGCACGUUUGACCAACUAGACUUCUUUUUUAAAUCGCAGAAAAAUUAUUUUUUUUCGAAUGUCUAAAGUAUAAUUUUUGCGAAAAAUAUGAAUAUCACAAAGUUUGAAUGGUUCAAAUUUAUUCAAUAAACUACGCGAAAAACGCCUUGAAGCAAAAAGUGGUUAAAGGUACAACAUGUACUCCUAUAUCAUGAAAAGUAAUUUAGAAGUUACUAAUAAGUCUACCAACUUAAUUCUUGUUUUUUAAGUAAUAAAGACAAAAUACCAUCCAAAGUUGAGUCGGAGAAGGUGGUCAGUUGAGAGGGUGGUAAGCAGGACAUUUCUAUUUAAAUUCUACAUGCAAAUUAAGGUUACAGACACUUUUAAAGAAAAAGGAAAUUUUGUUGCUUUUGUGAAGAAGUUUUGACACAGAAUCAUGUUACGAUUUGAUGCUACUAAUAUCAAAAUUAAAAACAAAAGUGCAGAUUUAGCUUUUGGUGUGCAAUUGUUUUAAUCUCAUUCGGAAUGUGCUGGAAGGUUUUCAAACAUUAUUCCUAAACAGUGCAAGCACAUGAAAGCACAUGAAAGAAAAUGUGCAAAGUAAAAGUUAGUAAGUAUACAGUGAAUGAAGUGGUUCAAAGUGGUGGUGGCAAGUGUAGAAUUAAACACUUAUUCCCUAUCAUAGAUAAGUUGAAAAUGUGCUUGAAACUAAAGCUUUCUCCUUAUGAGUCUGCAGAGAAAAAGUUUGGUUUUCUAACUAGUUUUCCGACCAUGGAUUUCUUGUAAUUAUUGCUGUUGGCAAACCCUUGUGUACUAUUUAGUUUUCAGACUUACACAAUUUCAUGAUGAAACUGUCUAGUUUUCCAAGUUCUUAGCAAAUGAGGAAAAUAUAUUGGCACUAGGGCGUUUAAAAGCAAUUUGUAGGAAUAAUUCAAAAUCAGUUUUUGUCAAAAUGUUGGGAUUGCAUUUUUGAUUUUUCCGACCCUUCCCAUUACAUAUUAUAAUGCAAAGCGAUCAUUUUUAAAUAUGGCAAAAGUUAAGAAUGUUCUCCGUUCCUCGAUUGUUAUAAUUCUCUUUGUUUAAUAAAAAUUAAUAGAGCUCCGUUACAAAAUGUAAACUUUGAAAAUUUUUAAAUAAAUCUGCAAAUUUGAAAGCAAGAAAUAUUCUUUAUGAAUAAAAACGUAAUCAUGUUUGCUCCAUUUAUUUUUGAAAACAUAUUUUUGGUCCUUAAUCCGGCCUUGCGUGAAACCAACGUUAUUACAACGUUAGAUUUAGUUUGUCAAUGUCGCCUAACAUAACUCAAUAUAAAUCCAGCUUUGGAUUAACGUUGUGUGCUAAUUGAAAUUCCUGUUAUGAUUGACCAAUAACUUUCGAUAACUCCCUUCACUAGACAACUUGAACAAUUUUUAUUGGGUAAAAUUUCAACGCCAUUUAGUUUAUAUCAUCCUAGAGACUUCUAGAAGUUGUGAGUUGUAGCCAAAUCUGAUCAAGAUAUUGUGGGUAAAUUAUUCAUUUUUUAAUCAUUUUUUUAUUUACAAAUCCGCGUUUAAACUUUUACAAGUAAUGUAUGGUGUGCUUUUUAAACUACAGGAGCAGAUUGCUUGCCAUAUAAAGAACUUGGUAGCUGAUUUCUCAGUUAGAUUAUACUUGAAUUUUAAGCGGCAUAUCUGUUUUUUGACUGAUAAAAAUAUUGCAGACCUGACAAUUGUUAUAAGUCAUUUUUGCAAUAGGUUUUAUGUAUUAUGCACAAGUUUUCUCGUGUUUUUAUAAAACUUUUUUGAACAACGAAA